UCUACCCUGUUGUUGUUGGUAACGAUUGGUUGUCCUUGAUUGGUCAUCUUUAUAUACCUAGUUUGGUAUCCCGAUGCCUUUCUCCUUCGGUUGAUUUAUCCUUUAUUAACCCAGUAACCAGUUGUGGAUAAUCUUCCAUGCGAGUAUAUUAUCUACGUUCUGACGGUAAUAGAUAAUAUAUCUCAUGCACUCUUCUGUCGAAACCUUU
rnacentral:lncRNA from 1 species